rnacentral:rRNA from 1 species
UACAGAGGAUGCAAGUGUUAUCCGGAAUCACUGGGCGUAAAGCGUCUGUAGGUGGUCAAAUAAGUCAACUGUUAAAUCUUGAGGCUCAACCUCAAGAUCGCAGUCGAAACUAUUAGACUAGAGUAUAGUAGGGGUAAAGGGAAUUUCCAGUGGAGCGGUGAGAUGCGUAGAUAUUGGAAAGAACACCGAUGGCGAAGGCGGGUUGCUGGGCUGACACUGACGCUGACAGCGCGAAAGCUAGGGGAGCGAACGGG